rnacentral:rRNA from 1 species
GAUUUCUGGUACGACGUGUCUGGCCCGCCAGGGUUACCUGCGUGAGUGCCGGCGCGCGUCUGCCAUCCAUCUAGAAAACGGCCUUACCCUUCACUGGGCCGGGGUCGCGAUCUAGAUAUUUUACUUUGAAAAAAUUAGAGUGUUUAAAGCAGGCUUCGCUAUGAAUACAUUAGCAUGGAAUAAUAAUUUAGGACUUCGGUUCUAUUUUGUUGGUUUCUAGGACUGAAGUAAUGAUUGAUAGGGAUAGUUGGGGGUGCUAGUAUUCAGCGGCCAGAGGUGAAAUUCUCGGAUUCGCUGAAGACUAACUUAUGCGAAAGCAUU